rnacentral:rRNA from 1 species
CAGUAGCCGCGGGAAUACGGAGGGUGCAAGCGUUAAUCGGAAUUACUGGGCGUAAAGCGCACGCAGGCGGUUAUUUAAGUGAGAUGUGAAAUCCCCGGGCUUAACCUGGGAACUGCAUCUUAUACUGGGUAACUGGAGUGCAAUAGAGGGUAGUGGAAUUUCCGGUGUAGCGGUGAAAUGCGUAGAUAUCGGAAGGAACACCAGUGGCGAAGGCGGCUACCUGGAUUGACACUGACACUGAGGCGCGAGAGCGUGGGGAGCAGACAGGAUUAGAUACCCCCGUAGUCCCUGUCUCUUAUAC